rnacentral:rRNA from 1 species
UUCCGGUUGAUCCUGCCGGAGGCUACCGCUAUUGGAGUUCGAUUAAGCCAUGCGAGUCGCGAGUCUUAGGGACUCGGCGUACCGCUCAGUAACACGUGGGUAACCUGCCCUAUGCUGGGGGAUAACCUCGGGAAACUGAGAAUAAUACCCCAUAGUUCACCACGCCUGGAACGGUGGGUGGACCAAAGCUCCGGCGGCAUAGGAUGGGCCUGCGGCGUAUCAGGUUGUAGGGGGUGUAAUGUACCCUCUAGCCCUCUACGCGUACGGGUGUUGAGAGACAUCGCCCGGAGAUGGAUUCUGAGACACGAAUCCAGACCCUACGGGGUGCAGCAGGCGCGAAAACUUGGCAAUGCGAGAAAUCGUGACCAGGGAACUCCAAGUGCAUCGGGUAAGACCGAUGCUUUUCUUGACUCUUCAAAGGUCUUGGAAUAAGGGGUGGGUAAGGACGGUGCCAGCCGCCGCGGUAAUACCGGCGCCUCAAGUGGUAGUCGCUUUUAUUGGGCCUAAAACGUCCGUAGCCGGUUUGGUACAUUCGUGGGUAAAUCAAGGCGCUCAACGUCUUGAAUUCUGCGAGCACGGCCAGACUUGGGACCGGGUGAGGUGUGGGGUACUCUCAGGGUAGGGGUAAAAUCCUGUCAUCCUGAGAGGACCACCUGUUGCGAAGGCGCCACACUAGAACGGAUCCGACGGUCAGGGACGAAGCCUAGGGGCACGAACCGGAUUAGAUACCCGGGUAGUCCUAGGUGUAAACGCUGUGGACUUGAUGUUGGGAGUGCUCCGAGCACCCUCAGUGUCGAAGCGAAGGUGAUAAGUCCACUGCCUGGGGAGUACGGUCGCAAGGCUGAAACUUAAAGGAAUUGGCGGGGGAGCACUGCAACCUGAGGAUUGUGCGGUUUAAUUGGAUUCAACGCCGG